GUGACGUCUUAACAUCAGCCAAUAUCGCCGCUACAGUCCACACUAGGUUCACCGGCGCAAGCCCCAUCCAGUGACCCUGGCAAAGGGGGCCCCGCGGCCCAGGCGCAGCCCCACCCCCGGGCGUCAGCACGUUUUCCCAGGCAGCAGCCUCCCGUGGGAGGGAGUCAGGGGUCGCGCAGCCUGAAGGAGCAACCGCCAGGAUGGAAAUGGCAGACUUUGGGAAGGAUCCCUCUGUCAGCGCAGGAGACCAGGUCAUUCCAGCAUCCAGAAACCUUCGUCAAAAUCUAUCUUGGAGGCAAACAAAACUCUCCUCUUCCAGAAGUGAUGGACACAGAUUCCAGAAGUCUGAGGAUGACCCCACACCAACUUUCCCUCUGUAUCACCUGUUCUUCCUUCUUUGGAUGCUCCAAUCUGUUGGAUGUUUUGUUACCAGCUGCCAUUCCACAUAGCCAUUAAACAGCUUUGACCUUGAGGACAUGGAUAUGGAUGAGGAGAAGGAUCCAGUUGGCACCUUUGGCCCCUUUUGCUUCAGUGGACUGAGUAGGGCGUCCAAGAAGGAACCCUUGCCUUAGGAAGACUCCUAAGAUUCCAAUGAUCCCCACCUCCUGAAGUUUACAAUUGUGGGUAAUUACCCCUCCCCUUGAGCACUGGUUGACCUUAGUGAUUUGUCUCCAACAGAAUAAAGGAAAGGUAAUGGGAUGCCACUUCCAUUAUUAGUUUAUAAAAGAUUAUAACUUCUGUCUUGUUUGAAAACUCUCUCCUGGUUUUGAUGAAGGAAGUUGCUGUGUCAGAGAAACCCACGUGACCAGGAACCAGCAAACUCCCACCCAGGGCCAACAGGGUAUUGAGGACCUCACGCCAACAGGCUUUGAGACAUGCAUCCUGCCAACAACUGACACCUGAGCAGGAUCAAAUAAAGGGCCCCAGGAUAAAACUGAGAAGUCCACUGUCAAGCUUCUUACAAGGGACCAGUAUGGAUGUAGAAGCCCAAAGAGGAAAUCGGAAGAGAGGGAGAGACACAGAGUGUGAGCUGACGAAGGGGCAGAGAGAGAGACGGAGACACAGAAUGCCAAGCAGGCUCCAGGCUCUGGGCUGUUAGCACCGAGCCCCACGUGGGGCUCAAACUCACGGACCACGAGAUCAUGACCUGAGCCGAAGCUGGACGCUUACCCGACUGAGCCACCCAGGUGCCCCUGGAGCUUUUUAAAUGUUGGUUACCUGACAGAUGAUCAGGAAGACAAGGCCUUGGAACAUAGACAACAAGUAGAAAAAUGAAUGAUGUGGAGUUGGUACCAGGGGGCAUAUAAGCCGGAAGGAUAGGAGGAGGAGGUAAAAGGACAGAAUGUCAGACUAUAAUAUUCCUGAUGGCAGAAGUAUUCCCAGUAUUAAGAUCUACAGGGUGUCAGUAACUGCACCGGAUGGGCAGUAAAGGACUCUAAAAUGAGAUUAUGUAGAAACUGGGACACUGGGUUAUUGGCUGAUCUAUCCACAUAGAUGUUACAACCUCCAGUACUUUCUCUUCAUGUUGCCUGCCCUGGGCCCCAUCUCACCUAUUGUCUCUCUCGGGACCUCCACAGAAUCAGACUCUGCAUUCGUUCUGUGACCUUAAUGUUCAGAUACUGUAGGGUCAAUGGCAUGACCCUUGACAAGAAGGAUACCACAUUUGUAUCUUCUUGUUCAAAGAGGGCGUCAAUGGUUUUUUAACACUGAACAUUCACUAGGACACUCAUUCCAUUUUUGAGUUCCAGCCUCAUGUGGCAUCACCUUCCCUCCAGAAUCCUAUUGUAAGCGUAGGAGAGUCCUAUUGUAAGGGUGGGUAGGUGUGCUGUCUUGGCCAAAAAAAAAAAACCAAAACACAAAAAACAGCAUUCCAUGGAAAAGCCCCCAAUUAUCUGUAUGCUGGUGCACCGUGUAGAACUCACCUCUGGUUCAUAACUUGCAGGUCUUCUGGAGGAGAUCUACCUUGGCUCCACUAAGGCCAUGAAUAUCAAAGGUGGUACCUCCGUCGUAAUGGGAGAACUGUCCACACUAAAGGCAAGGUCUUGUAUAUUGCCAUCAAGUGUGGAACUUGAGGUCCCCGUCUCCAAAAGGGGGUGCCAAGCUUGACAGCUUCCAGUAGGAAACCCCCAUGUCAAGUUUAACAUGACCCACACGACAGAUGCUUAAGCAGCAUGUAUGCUGUUCCUCGACCCUACCCCAACCAGCCCAGACACUCCCAUUCAGAGUUCACCCACCUGUGGGAUCCUCUGGUAACUGGAAGCCACUGUAACACUAGCAGGCAAGAAGGAAACAGUGGCUUAAUCAUUAUGUUCUGAAAACUAUACCUGUCUUUGAUCCUCCUCAGAUAGAGAAGACUUACUCUAAAAGGUAUAAAGCGUUCAAAGAGGGUAAAGGAGAGAGCUGCUAAGAGGCAGCAGAACAGAGCCCAUCUCCUCAAAUUUCAUCAGAGAGGAAAUGGGC